rnacentral:misc_RNA from 1 species
UUAGUGUCGUUUUUCGCCUUAAUACUAUUGUCUCCCCCAUAUUAGUAUCCAUUGCUUGCACCCUUUACACUAGCUAUCUUAACACCACUCUUUAUAGUCUAACGGUCUUGAGAAAAAUCUCCAUUCUUCAACUGAAUGUGUCAAAUCUAGAGCUGAGUGCAUCAACUAAAUGUGUCAAAUCUCUCUCGCUUACCCUCUAUAUAAAAAUUUUUCUUUUAAAUGCUUUUGUGAGAAGUGAUUGAAUCAAACAAGCUUCAUGGUUUUGUUUAAAGGCAAUGGGAGGAAAGAUGGUAUUCUGAUGGAAAGUGCUUUCAGUUAAAAAAGGGAAUGUUUUUAGAUAACUGGUAAUAAAA